rnacentral:rRNA from 1 species
GGAAUUUUGGACAAUGGGGGAAACCCUGAUCCAGCCAUGCCGCGUGCAGGAUGAAGGCCCUCGGGUUGUAAACUGCUUUUGUACGGUACGAAAAGUUCUUCUCUAAUACAGGAGGGCGAUGACGGUACCGUAAGAAUAAGCACCGGCUAACUACGUGCCAGCAGCCGCGGUAAUACGUAGGGUGCGAGCGUUAAUCGGAAUUACUGGGCGUAAAGCGUGCGCAGGCGGUCUUGCAAGACAGUGGUGAAAUCCCCGGGCUCAACCUGGGAACUGCCAUUGUGACUGCAAGGCUGGAGUACGGCAGAGGGGGGUGGAAUUCCGCGUGUAGCAGUGAAAUGCGUAGAUAUGCGGAGGAACACCGAUGGCGAAGGCAGCCCCCUGGGCCUGUACUGACGCUCAUGCACGAAAGCGUGGGGAGCAAA